rnacentral:lncRNA from 10 species
CGCGCGGGGAGGUGCUGCCACAGCGCGCCCCUUGACGUCACCGCUUCUCGCGCGCCCCCGCCCAGGGUGGAGGGAAGGGGAGGGGGCGGCCCCCGCGCGAGCGCGUCCCCCGGGCCCCGGCGGCCUCCCUGCUGCGGCGGGGAGGGGCGGCUAGCCGCGACGGCGGCGGACGGAGGGGGAGGGCCGCGAGCCUUCGGAACCAGCCUCGAGGGUGCUGAACCCCGCGCGCCCGCCUCGCCGCGGCCCCCGGGUGGGGGCGUCCACGGCCCGGGUUCCCGGCGGGCUUGGGGCAGGGACGCAGUCCGGAGAUUCCGGGACUGCCCGGCUGCUGCAGCCCGCAGGCUCCUCUCUCCUCCCCGCUUCCCCUCCGCACUGCCUGGGCUAAAGGCGGCCAAGCUGAGGCUCCGAAAGAAAAGGGAAAAUUGCAACCCUUGCCUACAACCAGACUGACAGCAUAAUUUCUUAGGAAUCAAGAAUCAAUACAGGGUUAUUUCUUUAGAUUAAACCUUAAAAGCCCCCUUGGAGGCUGAAGAAGCAGAGGAUAGCCAUGCAUACACUUGAACGUGAAAAAUGGUCCUCUUUCAUUGGAGAGGUCUUCCUCUUCAGCUAAACCGACAGAGUGGUGAAAAGAAGAAGGGACCCCUUGUUGACCAAAAUAAUCCAGACAAAUCAAAUCGGCCCUUUCCAGCAAGGAGUGGAACAGCCCAAGGGUGGCUAGAUCACAUCUUCUGCUCACACCACCACUGAGCAACCCUCUCCAGGACUGCCACCUAUGCAUAGGUCAUGCCCUGUGCAAGAGCACAUAAAGUGGGAGCUGAAGUCCUGCCCAGGCUCCAUUCACCAAGCAGAGCUUAUGUUGUUGUGUGUCUGUGUCUACCCAGAGGAUGUGGGUCCUUUUUAAAAUGUGCACCAAUGCAUCUUGUAUGAGCUGGCACCAGCUCGGACCAUCCCACCCUCAUACCCUGGUCCUAUCCAGGGUUAUAUUCCCUACUUUAGAAGAAUUAAUUAUUUUUAUGAACGUAUUUAGUUUAUUGUAAAAAAUGAAAUAUAUGACACAAAUUGAAAUUAAUUUCAGAGGUAAAGGUCAGAAUAUUACCAUGUAUGUGAAUUAUGUUUGUAUGUAUAUGUAUAUAUCAAGAGAGUUAUAUGAAUAUACAUUUUUGUGUAUCAGAAGUGAGGACAAUUUAACUUUGUUAAGUGUUUGAAAUAAAAUUAUUUUGAGUUUUGGAAU